rnacentral:tRNA from 1 species
GUUCUCGUAGUUGAAGUACAACGGUGGUUUUUCAAGUCAUUAGUCCUGGUUAAAAUCCUGGGGAGAAUU